rnacentral:rRNA from 1 species
AGAGUUUGAUUCUGGCUCAGAACGAACGCUGGCGGCGUGCUUAACACAUGCAAGUCAGGGAGAAAGUCUCUUCGGGGAUGAUUAAACCGGCGCACGGGUGAGUAACACGUGAGUGACCUGCCUUUUAGACUGGAACAACUUACCGAAAGGUGAGCUAAUGCCGGAUGAGUUAUAUAAGUGCAUGUUUAUAUAGGAAAAGUUGGGGAGACCUGACGCUGAAAGAUGGACUCGCGUCCCAUUAGCUAGUUGGUAGGGUAAUGGCCUACCAAGGCGACGAUGGGUAGCCGGCCUGAGAGGGUGGCCGGCCACACUGGGACUGAGACACGGCCCAGACUCCUACGGGAGGCAGCAGUGGGGAAUUUUGCGCAAUGCUCGUAAGAGUGACGCAGCGACGCCGCGUGAAUGACGAAGGCCUUCGGGUCGUAAAGUUCUUUCGACAGGGAAGAAAAUGCCUAUAAGUAACUGUGUAUGUAUUGACGGUACCUGUAUAAACAACCCCGGCUAACUCCGUGCCAG